GAUGAACGCUGGCGGCGUGCCUAAUACAUGCAAGUCGAGCGAACGGACGAGAAGCUUGCUUCUCUGAUGUUAGCGGCGGACGGGUGAGUAACACGUGGAUAACCUACCUAUAAGACUGGGAUAACUUCGGGAAACCGGAGCUAAUACCGGAUAAUAUUUUGAACCGCAUGGUUCAAAAGUGAAAGACGGUCUUGCUGUCACUUAUAGAUGGAUCCGCGCUGCAUUAGCUAGUUGGUAAGGUAACGGCUUACCAAGGCAACGAUGCAUAGCCUACCUGAGAGGGUGAUCGGCCACACUGGAACUGAGACACGGUCCAGACUCCUACGGGAGGCAGCAGUAGGGAAUCUGCCGCAAUGGGCGAAAGCCUGACGGAGCAACGCCGCGUGAGUGAUGAAGGUCUUCGGAUCGUAAAACUCUGUUAUUAGGGAAGAACAUAUGUGUAAGUAACUGUGCACAUCUUGACGGUACCUAAUCAGAAAGCCACGGCUAACUACGUG
rnacentral:rRNA from 1 species